UUUUAUGGAGAGUUUGAUCCUGGCUCAGGAUGAACGCUGGCGGCGUGCCUAAUACAUGCAAGUCGAGCGAACGGACGAGAAGCUUGCUUCUCUGAUGUUAGCGGCGGACGGGUGAGUAACACGUGGAUAACCUACCUAUAAGACUGGGAUAACUUCGGGAAACCGGAGCUAAUACCGGAUAAUAUUUUGAACCGCAUGGUUCAAAAGGGAAAGACGGACUUGCUGAAACUUAAAGAUGGAUCCGGGCUGCAUUAGCUAGUUGGUAAGGUAACGGCUUACC
rnacentral:rRNA from 1 species